UUCUUUGUAUUUUAAAUAAAUGGUUUAACAUGUUUUUUACUCAACCUUUUAGCUUACAGCUUUCCUUUCAUCAAAUUUUUUGAAAUAUAAUAACUUAUUUAUUAGGAAAAAAAAAAAGCAUAAUUCAAAGUAUUAAAACGCCUACUUUUUCUCAGUCUUCACUUUCUCCCUUCAAAUCAAAAUCACGAGGUCCUUGGACAACAUACCAGUUGCUCGUAGAGAACAUUUUGGUGAUGGGUAUUGGCCGAUUCGAGUGGCUAUUCUUUUGAAAGUUUUGUUUAAGACUCAUUGGUUUGGUUAUCUUGAUUGGUUGAUGUAUAAUUCUUCCCCAUAUGCUUUGUCCAUUACCUGUUCGUUUAAAUGUCUGAACUCCAUGCAGGUUAACUUACACUAGAAGUUCACCAUUCCUCGAGCUUGACUCAUCAAUUUGUUGACAUAAAACUGGUUGACCAAGGGAGCCUACGCUUGAUUUCCUCAUUACAUCAUAAUUAGAGUAGAUGACAUACUGCAACAGUGAAAUUCAAAUGUUGUUGAUUCAAGAAAGAAUGGCAACUGGCAGUCUGAAGAACAUUUUGGCUGCAGCAGUCACCAAUGGAGUGAUUGAGGCCAGGGCGAGGAUCUUUGGGCAUAUGCUUAACCCUACCGGGUAGAGAUCUCCACACAAGAUUUUACGCAAGAAGCUUAUUGGUGAUAAAGUUGCAGACUGGUACCCGUAUGACAUCAAGAAAGACGACCCCCUUGUCAUGACCCGUCAAGAAGAAGAGUUAUGCUUUUUAUGUCUUACAGUCCCCUGAGAUUCAAUUAUCAACUGCAUAAUCCAUGGUGGAACUUGUUAUUGUUUGUCAGGUGGUUAUCCAAGCUUGAAAUGUUGAAGCGUCGUGGAAAGGGAGCACCGAAAAAGGGCCAGGGAAGGCAUCCUGUCAAGCGUAGCAAAUAUAGAUGAUAGCUUGAAUAUUUGAACUGAAUAAUUGAGAAUCAUCUGAAUGGAAAUGAUGGUAGUAACAAUUGAAUAAUUUAUAAUCCUUUGAAUGGAAAUGAUAGUAAUAGGACUACACAAUUUCUAGGAGUUAUUUGUA